rnacentral:rRNA from 1 species
AACGAACGCUGGCGGCAUGCCUAACACAUGCAAGUCGAACGAAGCCUUCGGGCUUAGUGGCGCACGGGUGCGUAACGCGUGGGAAUCUGCCCUUGGGUUCGGAAUAACAGUUAGAAAUGACUGCUAAUACCGAAUGAUGUCUUCGGACCAAAGAUUUAUCGCCCAAGGAUGAGCCCGCGUCGGAUUAGCUAGUUGGUGAGGUAAAGGCUCACCAAGGCGACGAUCCGUAGCUGGUCUGAGAGGAUGAUCAGCCACACUGGGACUGAGACACGGCCCAGACUCCUACGGGAGGCAGCAGUGGGGAAUAUUGGACAAUGGGCGAAAGCCUGAUCCAGCAAUGCCGCGUGAGUGAAGAAGGCCUCGGGUUGUAAAGGCUCUUUGUUCUAGGGAAGAAAAGGACUGUGGCUAAUAUCCACAGCUGCUGACGGUACCUGAAGAAUAAGCACGGCUAACUACGUGCCAGCAGCCGCG